rnacentral:rRNA from 1 species
GAUGAACGCUGGCGGCGUGCCUAAUACAUGCAAGUCGAGCGAACGGACGAGAAGCUUGCUUCUCUGAUGUUAGCGGCGGACGGGUGAGUAACACGUGGAUAACCUACCUAUAAGACUGGGAUAACUUCGGGAAACCGUAGCUAAUACCGGAUAAUAUUUUGAACCGCAUGGUUCAAAAGUGAAAGACGGUCUUGCUGUCACUUAUAGAUGGAUCCGCGCUGCAUUAGCUAGUUGGUAAGGUAACGGCUUACCAAGGCAACGAUGCAUAGCCGACCUGAGAGGGUGAUCGGCCACACUGGAACUGAGAAACGGUCCAGACUCCUACGGGAGGCAGCAGUAGGGAAUCUUCAGCAAUGGGCGAAAGCCUGACGGAGCAACGCCGCGUGAGUGAUGCAGGUCUUCGGAUCGUAAGACUCUGUUAUUAGGGAAGAACAUAUGUCUAAGUAACUGUGCACAUCUUGACGGUACAUAAUCAGAAAGCCACGGCUAACUACGUG